GAGCAGGAUGGCGUCUGCGGGCUGUGUGGAGGAGUAAAUCGGCUGACCGCUGACUGUUUCCCCGGUGGACCCGCACUCUCAGCGGCCUCACGUGUUUCAGCAGAGCGGAGCAGCUGGUGUUUCUGAGCUAUGAGGACUGGUGUGCUGUUGCCUCCAGGCAGCCUGGCUGUUGGACUAUGCUGUAUUUGUCCACUGGGUGGCGCCUCCUGAGCCAAGCUCACCGCCUCCCUCCCUGCUCCCCCUGCCCCGCUGCUCAGUCUGUCACUAUGUACGCCACCCGCCUUUACAGCACUGCGGGGGGAGGAGGAGGAGGAGGAGGGGGAGGGGGAGGGGGUGGGGUUAAACAGGGGCGAAGGGCGGGGCUGGCCAUGCUCGAGGCACCCCACCCCCCUCACCCGCACCUCCCUCACCACCCACACGCAGCCCCGCCUCCCCCCGCCUACCCGCUGUACCAGGGCCGCCCCGAUGCCCAUCGAGGAGCUCACUUCCACCACCACUAUCAUCCCCAUCCUCACCCGCAGCCCGCCCACAUGGCCCCGCCCCCACUCCCUCCCCACUACCAGCCCCACACCCACUUCCAUUCAUAUGGAGGGGGGGCUCCGGCUGGAGGGGCUGCUGCUGCCGGCAGCAAGAAGAAGACAUGGAACUUCAUCCACGAGAAGAUGAGCUACGACACGUUCUUCACCAUGAAGCGCCUGAUUGAGCGCUCGCGGCGUCCAGAUGAGGUACUGCGCUGGGUCACCCAGAACCCUGCCAAGAUCUCCCACAACCACUACCCCGUGGCCCUGCAGAAGAUCGGACAGCUGCUACAGGCCACGCCGCUACCACGAGGCGCAGGCGACGACACGGACACCGAGGCGGCAGGAGCAGGAGGACCAGAGGGGGGCGACAGACGUCAGAUCCUGGAGCAUCAGGACUUUCAGACCCUUUGCAACGCCAUCGUCACUGAUUGUGCCAAGUUUGACAACUUCAGCAUCGUCAACUGUCUGUAUGCUGUGGCAGCACUCGGUCUUCCCAGUGACUCUCAGGUGGUCCAGGUGUUGGAGGCAGAGUCUCAGUCCCGACUGAACCAGUUUAACCAGAAGGACGUGUCCAUGGUGUUCAGCUCCAGCAUGAAGCUCCACCCCGGUAGCCAGCACCCUCUGACUGAGGCCUGCCUGGCCGGCCUGGAGAAGAAUCUGGAGAGAGAGCGCCACCCACAGACGCUCUUCCUGCUGCUCUCAUACUACAGACUCAAGUGGCGCUCACUGCAGCUGCAGGAACCUGCUGCUGCUGCAGGGGGCUCUAAUGCUGCUACUGCUAACAAUAACAACACACCAAACCCUGAACAACUGCUCGCCAACAGGAAGAUCUUGCGUCUGGUCAAACAUACCCUGGCGAGUGUCAGUGGUGUUCGUGACCAGGAGAUGGCGCUGUUGGAUGAGAUGUUGGCGGCGUGCGCUCGGGAGGCAAGCAACAAGAGUCUGGAGUUGAUCUUCAGCUCCCACCUGUUCUACCAGAACAGACAGGAGAGGUUCAUCAGCAGCCUGGCAGAGGAGCUGCCAAAGAAGGCGGACAGCAUCACUCCAUACACAAUGGCUCUGAUCGCCAAAUACAUCGCUCGCCAUCGACUGAGAGAGACGCGACUGCUCGACACCAUUGCAGACUUCCUCGUGAAGAAGGCAGAGUACCUGGACAGCAAGGUGAUCCAGAAGCUGGUGUUCCCGUUCAGCAGGAUGAGUUACCGUCCGUCCAACGAUCAGCAGUUCUUCUCUCGGUUGGAGGAGGUCGUAGAGCUGAAGGCGCUCAGCUCGCCGCUCGCCACCGUCAACAUUCUGAUGUCUCUGUUCCAGCUGGGACAUUUUCCCGGCCUGGUCCUGCACAGAGUCUUCUCCUCCGCCUUCAUCAGCAACGUCACCAACAGUCCGUAUGCUUUGAUUGUCCGGCGAUACCUGUCUCUGCUGGAUGCUGCUGUGGAGCUUGAGUACCAUGAGUACACUGGACCACGACUGCAGGAUGCCCACAAGGUCCUGAUGUUUGAUCACGCGCUGACUGCUGAUGAGGUCAACCGCAAGUACAGUUAUAAAGGUCUGGUGGCUGAGGCUCUGCGACAGCUGGUUGGAGAACAGAACUAUAAACAGGACGAAGUACUCCCCCCUGGAUAUUACACAGACUUUGUGUUGUGGAUGGACAGUUCUGGUCGGGUUCUACCCAUCAGGACUGGAGCUGGUCUGGCUCUCAGCAUCAUUCCUCCAUCCUGCGUCACUGUAGCAUCCAAGCCAGCUGAUGGCAGUGUUGCCGUGGUAACUUCAGAGUUCCAGAAGUUCUCUCCAUUCGCAACGCUGGAGGAGGGUGCCGAGCAGCCAUGUCAGGUGGGCGAGGCGAUGGGGGCGCCCAUGGAGCCCAGGUCCUUCCUGCCCCACCACAUUCGUAGCACGGCAGGGGCCACAGCAGCCUCAGGCCCCCAGCGGCCCGGGACUAACAGCGGCCCCUUGGACUAUGGCCCCUACUAUGUCCCUGCAGCAGACUACUACUCAAGUCUAGCAAAGGAGCACUCUCUGGAGAGCCAGGAUAGCUCCACGCUCAGCAGCCCCCCCUCUGAUGGCCUGGCCCAGCCUGGAGCCCAAGGACCUGCAGGGGCAACAGCCCCAGACUCACUCUUCCAGUUUUCCAUUGGGAAGAUUCUGGAGGACGAGGGGGGGGCAGGGGGCCAAGGGACAGACUGCGAGCUGCCAGGAUUCUAUGAAGGCGUGACAUAUUCUGAGGGCUCUGGGACUGACAGAGGACCCCCAUCACCAUCACAGAUCCAGCCCCCCAGCAGGCCUGACGCAGAGAGCCCUCAAACAGACCAGAGGCAGCUCAGGAGGGUCAUCAUGUCUGUCAAUGAUAAGUGGCAUUACUGCCACAACUCUGAGGUUCUGGUCGGUUCGCGGGCCAUGAGGGACCGACAUCUGAGGCUGCUGGGAUACAUCAUCUUACAGGUCAUGGUGGCAGCAUGCUAAGCAAAGUAGCUGAUACCCCUGCCUAUCAUCAUCCUACACCACCUCCUGUGGGACCCUGAGAUGUUCCCAGGCAUAAUGGGACAUGAAAUCGCUCCAGUCUGUACUUGGUCUGUCAAUUGGGUCUCCUCCUACAUGGAUAGGCCUGGAACACCCCCACAGGGAUGCAUCCAAAUAAAAUGCCCGAUGCGCCUCAGCUGACUCCUUUGAACAUGAAAGAGCAGUGGUCCUCCUCCGUGCUCCUCUUGUAUAUCUGAGCUCCUAAGCCUGUCUCAGCGGCUGAGACCAGACACCCUGCAGAGGAAACUGCUUUUAUCCUACAUGUCACUGUUUCAGUCAUGACCCAGCGGUCAUUCCCACAGGUGAUAGUUGGAACAUAAAGUACAUCAUCAGGUAAAUCAAGAUCGGCUCCCACGCAGUCUGAUAUAAGACUUGCCCUCACUGGGGCACAAGACCCUGACAUAAUUGAACUCCUUCACUAGGGGCAGCGACUUCCUCCAACUAGAGACUGGAUACCCGACCCAAGCCGGGUUUGUGUCGACCGGGCGGGAUUGUUUAAUCUACCUGUACAAACCAAUGCCUUUUGACUGUCAUUAACAAGGUGCCAACACACGUGUCUAACCCUAACCACAGGCCAGCCGUAACCGUGGUAUCAAAUGUGGAACAGGAUAACACAACGUGGUGCUUCAUCCUACAUUAACUGCAUCAAGCUCUGAGGCCGGAGACCCGCAGCCGGAGCUGCCGUACCACGAGCUGGAGAAGCUGAACGGCAUCGAGGAGGUGAAGCAGUACCUACACAAGAAGCUGCUGGACAUCCCGCUAUGACGCUGUGUGUGUGUGUGUGUGUUUGUGUGUGUGUGUGUGUGAUGUCACAGCCGCUGUGGUUAUGUGGUUGAAUCAGGAUCAGAGGUCAGCAGUUUGUUCGCCCUCUGAACCUUUCAGUCAAACAUCUGGGUGAAAAGAGCAACGACAUCCUCGCAUUAAUGUUUUGUUUAUUCAGAUUAAAGCUGCAACUAACCAUUAUUUUAUCAGUAAAUCUGCUAAUUCAUUAUUAAUCAGUCUCAUCGACUGCUGUCAGUUUCAGAACAAGACAGGACAUCUGAAGACGUCACUUUGAAGUGAUGAACAUUUCAGUCGAUCAAGAAGUCAUCAGCCAAAAUAACGUGUAGUUGCAGCUGUUCACAUUAAUGUGUAGGUUGACUCACAGACUCUCAUCAGGCUGUGCAGUUCUUUAAGGACCUUCCCGCUGAUCACCGACCAUUUUCCAAAUCAAAUCAACAAAAUUUCACAUCGAUCUCUUCCAGCAGGGAGCCACUAGCUCCUGUUUGUUUGUUCAAGUCCAUUUUCAGUUCACUACAGAGAGAGAGAACUGACAGAAAUCAGAGUCCAUGAGCAGAACCUGACUGGUUAUCAACCAAAAGCUGUUCAGUUUUCAGGCUAUUUAAAAAAAAGCCCAACCUGUCAUUUAUUCAACUCGAGUUAUAUUCUUGUCUCCCUACAUGACGGUCCGGUGCUCCAUGUGUGGUUCUGGUGGCGAGUACUGAAUUUCUUUCAUUUUAAUGAAGCUCGAGUUUUGUCGUCACGUUGUUCCAGUAAACUUCGUGUUAAUCAUGAGAUCUGUUGUCCAAAACUGGAACCGUGAAGACAAACUAUCUGUAAACAUGGAGGGUCCCUGAACACACGAUCAGGGCUGUUCUCACCUGCUCAGGUGUGACAGUGGUUUAUUUUGGAACAUGGUCGGCUCAUUUGGUCCUUUAAUGUGUCAUCGUGUUCACUGUGUGCAGGCUGUGAUCUGAUUGGUCGCUGUGUGGAUGAACAAACAUAUCUUUUUUUGGGGGUGGGUGGAGUCCCUUUUUAUAAAGUUUGGUAACCAUGGUAACGAUGAUGCAUGUGUGGGACUCUUGUUUUUUGGGGUGUCAGAGUUUUAUAAUAUCAGAUGACGGAGUUAGACUUUUUGUCGGGAGAGCAGGGGCUGAUGGGUACUGUAGUUCUGAGUGCACAUGGCUAUCUGGUGAGGAAGGGGGGAGUGAAGAGGGAUUGUUACUAUGGUAAUGUGGUGUGUGUGUGUGCGUGUGUGUGUGUGUGUGCCAAAGGCCUGGAGGACGAGCCAGCUUCAGUAUGAUGUGUGGGUGAUUCAUGUCGGGGUCGAAGGUCAGAUUAUUUAUUUGUGAAUCAGGUGAUGGACGGACUGAAAUAAACUUGUUUAUAUUCUAUAAAUCUAUUAAUUCAAAUGUCUAUAAAACCUGAAACCAAACCGAACUCGUCUGGUUGUAGUUUCAUUAUUGUUCCACAUUA